AAUGGGGCUCACCUCUUACCUUUCCGAACAGAGAAGUUAAGCCCAUUAGCGCCGAUGGUACUGCAGUUAUGUGGGAGAGUAGGUCGUCGCCUUCU
rnacentral:rRNA from 1 species